UACGUAGGGACCAAGCGUUGUUCGGAUUUACUGGGCGUAAAGGGCGCGCAGGCGGCUUAACAAGUCACUUGUGAAAUCUCUGGGCUUAACCCAGAACGGCCAAGUGAAACUGUUAUGCUAGAGUGCAGAAGGGGCAAUCGGAAUUCUUGGUGUAGCGGUGAAAUGCGUAGACAUCAAGAGGGACACCUGAGGUGAAGACGGGUUGCUGGGCUGACACUGACGCUGAGGCGCGAAAGCCAGGGGAGCAAACGGG
rnacentral:rRNA from 1 species